rnacentral:rRNA from 1 species
AUGAACGCUAGCUACAGGCUUAACACAUGCAAGUCGAGGGGCAGCAUUUUAGUUUGCUUGCAAACUGAAGAUGGCGACCGGCGCACGGGUGAGUAACACGUAUCCAACCUGCCGAUAACUCCGGGAUAGCCUUUCGAAAGAAAGAUUAAUACCGGAUAGUAUACGAAUAUCGCAUGAUAUUUUUAUUAAAGAAUUUCGGUUAUCGAUGGGGAUGCGUUCCAUUAGUUUGUUGGCGGGGUAACGGCCCACCAAGACUACGAUGGAUAGGGGUUCUGAGAGGAAGGUCCCCCACAUUGGAACUGAGACACGGUCCAAACUCCUACGGGAGGCAGCAGUGAGGAAUAUUGGUCAAUGGGCGCGAGCCUGAACCAGCCAAGUAGCGUGAAGGAUGAAGGCUCUAUGGGUCGUAAACUUCUUUUAUAUGGGAAUAAAGUUUUCCACGUGUGGAAUUUUGUAUGUACCAUAUGAAUAAGGAUCGGCUAACUCCGUGCCAGCAGCCGCGGUAAUACGGAGGAUCCGAGCGUUAUCCGGAUUUAUUGGGUUUAAAGGGAGCGUAGGUGGAUUGUUAAGUCAGUUGUGAAAGUUUGCGGCUCAACCGUAAAAUUGCAGUUGAAACUGGCAGUCUUGAGUACAGUAGAGGUGGGCGGAAUUCGUGGUGUAGCGGUGAAAUGCUUAGAUAUCACGAAGAACUCCGAUUGCGAAGGCAGCUCACUAGACUGUCACUGACACUGAUGCUCGAAAGUGUGGGUAUCAAACAGGAUUAGAUACCCUGGUAGUCCACACAGUAAACGAUGAAUACUCGCUGUUUGCGAUAUACAGUAAGCGGCCAAGCGAAAGCAUUAAGUAUUCCACCUGGGGAGUACGCCGGCAACGGUGAAACUCAAAGGAAUUGACGGGGGCCCGCACAAGCGGAGGAACAUGUGGUUUAAUUCGAUGAUACGCGAGGAACCUUACCCGGGCUUAAAUUGCAACAGAAUAUAUUGGAAACAGUAUAGCCGUAAGGCUGUUGUGAAGGUGCUGCAUGGUUGUCGUCAGCUCGUGCCGUGAGGUGUCGGCUUAAGUGCCAUAACGAGCGCAACCCUUAUCUUUAGUUACUAACAGGUGAUGCUGAGGACUCUAGAGAGACUGCCGUCGUAAGAUGUGAGGAAGGUGGGGAUGACGUCAAAUCAGCACGGCCCUUACGUCCGGGGCUACACACGUGUUACAAUGGGGGGUACAGAAGGCGGCUACCUGGUGACAGGAUGCUAAUCCCAAAAACCUCUCUCAGUUCGGAUCGAAGUCUGCAACCCGACUUCGUGAAGCUGGAUUCGCUAGUAAUCGCGCAUCAGCCAUGGCGCGGUGAAUACGUUCCCGGGCCUUGUACACACCGCCCGUCAAGCCAUGAAAGCCGGGGGUACCUGAAGUACGUAACCGCAAGGAGCGUCCUAGGGUAAAACUGGUAAUUGGGGCU